rnacentral:rRNA from 1 species
GAUGAACGCUGGCGGCGUGCCUAAUACAUGCAAGUCGAGCGAACAGACGAGGAGCUUGCUCCUCUGACGUUAGCGGCUGACGGGUGAGUAACACGUGGAUAACCUACCUAUAAGACUGGGAUAACUUCGGGAAACCGGAGCUAAUACCGGAUAAUAUAUUGAACCGCAUGGUUCAAUAGUGAAAGACGGUUUUGCUGUCACUUAUAGAUGGAUCCGCGCCGCAUUAGCUAGUUGGUAAGGUAACGGCUUACCAAGGCAACGAUGCGUAGCCGACCUGAGAGGGUGAUCGGCCACACUGGAACUGAGACACGGUCCAGACUCCUACGGGAGGCAGCAGUAGGGAAUCUUCCGCAAUGGGCGAAAGCUUGACGGAGCAACGCCGCGUGAGUGAUGAAGGUCUUCGGAUCGUAAAACUCUGUUAUUAGGGAAGAAAAAAUGUGUAAGUAACUAUGCACGUCUUGACGGUACCUAAUCAGAAAGCCACGGCUAACUACGUG